rnacentral:rRNA from 1 species
GACGAACGCUGGCGGCGUGCUUAACACAUGCAAGUCGAACGGAAAGGCCCUGCUUUUGUGGGGUGCUCUAGUGGCGAACGGGUAAGUUACACGUGAGUAACCUGUCCCUGACUUUGGGAUAACUUCAGGAAACUGGGGCUAAUCCCGGAUAGGAGCUACUGCUGCAUGGUGGGGGUUGGUAAGUUUCGGCGGUUGGGGAUGGACUCGCGGCUUAUCAGCUUGUUGGUGGGGUAGUGGCUUACCAAGGCUUUGACGGGUAGCCGGCCUGGGAGGGUGACCGGCCACAUUGGGACUGAGAUGCGGCCCAGCCUCCUACGGGAGGCAGCGGUGGGGAAUAGUGCACAAUGGGCGGAAGCCUGAUGCGGCAACGCCGCGUGCGGGAUGACGGCCUGCGGGUUGGAAACCACUUUCGCCUGUGACGAGGCGUGAGUGACGGUAAUGGGUAAAGAAGCACCGGCUAACUACGUG